AUCCAGCUGAUGAGUUUCAAACAGGACGAAACGCUCACCCUGGAU
rnacentral:hammerhead_ribozyme from 1 species